rnacentral:rRNA from 1 species
GUGUCAGCCGCCGCGGUAAUACGGAGGGUGCAAGCGUUGUCCGGAAUCACUGGGUGUAAAGGGUGUGUAGGCGGGGCUGUAAGUCAGAGGUGAAAUCCCACGGCUCAACCGUGGAACUGCCUUUGAUACUGCAGCUCUUGAGUCCCGGAGAGGUGGCUGGAAUUCGUGGUGUAGCGGUGAAAUGCGUAGAUAUCACGAGGAACACCAGAGGUGUAGACGGGUCACUGGACGGGUACUGACGCUGAGGCACGAAAGCGUGGGGAGCAAACAGGAUUAGAUACCCUGGUAGUCCACGCCGUAAACGAUGGAUGCUCGGUGUUGCCCCGCCUUUAGGGGCAGUGCCUAAGCUAACGCGUUAAGCAUCCCACCUGGGGAGUACGCUCGCAAGAGUGAAACUUAAAUGAAUUGACGGGG